GAUGAACGCUGGCGGCGUGCUUAACACAUGCAAGUCGAACGGAAAGGCCCAAGCUUGCUUGGGUACUCGAGUGGCGAACGGGUGAGUAACACGUGGGUGAUCUGCCCUGCACUUCGGGAUAAGCCUGGGAAACUGGGUCUAAUACCGGAUAGGACCACAUUUUGGAUGGUGUGGUGGAAAGUUUUUCGGUGUGGGCUGAGCUCGCGGCCUAUGAGCUUGUUGGUGGGGUAAUGGCAUACCAAGGCGUCGACGGGUAGCCGGCCUGAGAGGGGGUACGGCCACAUGGGGACUGAGAGACGGCCCAGACUGCUACGGGAGGCAGCAGUGGGGAAUAUUGCACAAUGGGCGCAAGCCUGAUGCAGCGACGCCGCGUGGGGGAUGACGGCCUUCGGGUUGUAAACUCCUUUCGCUAGGGACGAAGCGCAAGUGACGGUACCUGGAGAAGAAGCACCGGCUAACUACGUG
rnacentral:rRNA from 1 species